GUCCCGAGCAUCCCUCCCGUCCUUGAGCAUCCCCCCGCAGCCUUGAGCAUCCCCCUUGUUGCCCCCAGCAUCUCCCCUGCAGUCCCGAGCAUCCUUGAGCAUCCUCCUUGCAACCCUGAGCAUCCUCCUCAUGGCCCAAACAACUUCCCCGUGGUCCCCUUUGGACCCCCGAGUAUCUUCCCCGUGGCCCUACGCAUCCCCCGCAGCGCUGAGCCAUCCCCCUGCAGCCCCACAAACCUCCCCACAGCCCAGCACCCUCCCUGGCCCCUCAGGACCUGCUCGGCAGCAGCGGGAUUUACCGACAGAGGAAGAGAUGUUGUAAACUGGCUGCAAGCGAGGACCUUCAGAGGGGACCUGCACCUUCUCUCCUUCGGGUAUGACCCCCAGCCUCACUGCCUGGAGAGAGACCGACUGCAAGCACAGGAACAUGCCCUGGAGGAAUCGAAAAAAAGAGAUGACCCAGGAGACGAACACCUGAUUCCCAUGGGACACCUCCCAACUCAUCUCCCUCUCACCAAAGCCUCAACUUCUCUCCCUCUCACCAAAGCCUACUGCCUCCAUAAUCCAGAGAAAUUACAGAACCUGGCAUUUCCAGCCCCUUCCAACACCCUCUGGUGCCACUUCUUCACAAACAGGAGGGCUGAGGAAUCAGUAACGCCACCCCUGCUGCCUCCUCCCGAGAGCCACUUAAUGUUGCCUGGAUCAAAAUCUUGUGACCACACAAUGUUUUGCCCCUGCUGCCUCUUCCUGAGAGCCACUUAAUGUUGCCUGGAUCAAAAUCUUGUGACCACACAAUGUUCUGCCCAUGAAUAUUUUGGAGGGAUGCAAGGAGCUGGUCAUUCUCCUCCCUCCCGCACUUCGCAACUUCUCUCCCUCUCACCAAAGCCUACUGCCUCCAUAAUCCAGAGAAAUUACAGAACCUGGCAUUUCCAGCCCCUUCCAACACCCUCUGGUGCCACUUCUUCACAAACAGGAGGGCUGAGGAAUCAGUAACGCCACCCCUGCUGCCUCCUCCCGAGAGCCACUUAAUGUUGCCUGGAUCAAAAUCUUGUGACCACACAAUGUUUUGCCCAUGAAUAUUUUGGAGGGAUGCAAGGAGCCGGUCAUUCCCCUCCCUCCCGUGCUUCAGGUGCCUGCAGUGGACAGUAGCAGCAGCUGCUUUGCUCUUUCUCCUGUAGCAAAGUGCUCAAGAGCAUUUGCAGGGGAUUUGUUGGGCUGCCUCCCCUCCUCUUCUGCAACUCAGUUCUUAAAUAAGACAUUGCCGUGAGUUUUGCCAUUCCAGUCAGGUGACUUUUCCCCCCAGAUUCCUUAAUAAAACCAAGCAGGUCAAAUUUAUGCUCA
rnacentral:lncRNA from 1 species